CUCUCACCAUCCCUGUAUAUUUUGCUAUGUAUCUGGGUAUCCGUACUGACAGCUCAAUCUCAAUCUUUAUCCCGAUGAUAAAUAUUUUCGUGUAUGUAGGUUAAAUGCAAAGGCACGCACUCAGUCUUCCUUACUGAAAGAUGUGCUGCAUCGAGGCCAUCAGUGGAGAAUCCACGAACCAAUCUAUAUGAACUGGAUUUUAUCAUUGUUGAAUGCGAGAUACUUCCCAGACAGAUACAUGUCCCUUAGGAAGCGUGAGAACAACAGAACAUUGCCAGUAUGUACAUGUCAUGGCAUCUUCCUUGAAGAAUUUUACUACUUCAAUGCUGGCAAGCAAUAUGCGACAUGAUCUUUAUACAUUUGUCAUUACAAAUUUAUCAAGAAAGGUAUUAUUGCACUCAUCCUGGAGACCAAGAUACAAAAUGUCAAGCAGCAAGCUUAUCAUUUGUGUAAGCUAGCACUUACGGAAAAGGUAUCUGUGGUAUGUCUUUUGCAUAGGCCAACACACAGUACAAUAUGAAAAGCUCAUUCGUUUUGCUAUUUCUUGAGAAAUCAUUUGUAUUCCUUAAAGAAUCAUAGAGAAAAGUGAUUAUGCAGAUUGGUUGUAACUGAUUCUGAUCAGCCAUUUUCUCCUAUGCUAUAGGCUAAAUGUCCACCUGGAAAAGGAAUUAUAGAGACUGAAACAGGAGCCCUUAAAAAGGGGGAAAAGAGGUCUGCGGCAUGGCUCUGCAAAGAGACAUACAUGGAUACUCAGGAAAGCAUGUAAAUAAAGAGUUGACACACAAAUAAUAUUUUUAAUUAUGCCAUAUAUUGAGGAAUACAGGCACAUGUUUCCAGUACUGAAACUCACUGUUGAUUUUAUGAUAUAUCGAAUUUGUUGUUAGCGAAGAUGGUUACUUUGGUACAUGAUCUCAUAACACCUUAAGGCAUUUAUAAAUGUAUUAUAGUAUCUAUUUGUAACAAAAAACUAUUUCUUGCGGUUUACUAUUAUUAC